rnacentral:rRNA from 1 species
CCGACUGCUAUUUGGGUGAGGAUAAGCCAUGCGAGUCGAAUGGGAUACCUAAAAUUCCCAUGGCAACUGCUCAGUAACACAUGAUCAACUUACCCUAUGGAGAAAAAUACCCUCGGGAAACUGAGGAUAAUGUUUCAUAGAUGAAAAGGCUUGGAAAAGUUUUUCAAUGAAAGGGAUAAGAAAAAUGGUUUUUAUCUGCCAUAGGAUAGGAUCGUGGUCGAUUAUGGUUGUUGGCGAGGUAACGGCUCACCAAGCCGAUAAUCGAUAGGGGCCGUGAGAGCGGGAGCCCCGAGAUGGGUACUGAGACAACGACCCAGGCCUUACGAGGCGCAGCAGGCGCGGAACCUCCGCAAUACACGAAAGUGUGACGGGGUUACCCAAAGUGUUCUUAUAGAACUGUGGUAGGUGAGUGAUGUCCCCUACUAGAAAGGAGAGGGCAAGGCUGGUGCCAGCCGCCGCGGUAAAACCAGCUCUUCAAGUGGUCGGGAUAAUUAUUGGGCUUAAAGCGUCCGUAGCCGGUUUAGUAAGUUCCUGGUAAAAUCGGGUAGCUUAACUACCCGCGUGCUAGGAAUACUGCUAUACUAGAGGGCGGGAGAGGUCUGAAGUACUACAGGGGUAGGGGUGAAAUCUUAUAAUCCUUGUAGGACCACCAGUGGCGAAGGCGUCAGACUGGAACGCGCCUGACGGUGAGGGACGAAAGCCUGGGGAGCGAACCGGAUUAGAUACGUCGGUGCUAGUAUCUUUCAACAAAAAUCUAACACCGCGCUAAAAACCCGGGUAGUCCUGGCCGUAAACGAUGCAUACUAGGUGAUGGCA